ACGCUUUUGUUUUAAAGGUAAAAUAUUAGUUUCCAAAACUUUAUGAUGAAGGUUCAAUUCCUUCAAAGCGUG
rnacentral:tRNA from 1 species